AUUGAACGCUGGCGGCAUGCCUUACACAUGCAAGUCGAACGGCAGCACGGGAGCAAUCCUGGUGGCGAGUGGCGAACGGGUGAGUAAUAUAUCGGAACGUGCCCGGUCGUGGGGGAUAACGUAGCGAAAGCUACGCUAAUACCGCAUACGAUCUACGGAUGAAAGCGGGGGGAUCGCAAGACCUCGCGCGAUUGGAGCGGCCGAUAUCAGAUUAGGUAGUUGGUGAGGUAAAGGCUCACCAAGCCGACGAUCUGUAGCUGGUCUGAGAGGACGACCAGCCACACUGGGACUGAGACACGGCCCAGACUCCUACGGGAGGCAGCAGUGGGGAAUUUUGGGACAAUGGGCGCAAGCCUGAUCAGCAAUGCCGCGUGCAGGAUGAA
rnacentral:rRNA from 1 species